ensembl:lncRNA
CCCUUUUAAUCAAUAGAAAUCUUACUGUCCUGUUCAAAUUAAUUCAAUUCAGCACUGCAAUUUGCACUGGGAGACUGCCAUGGCUUGUGUGUGUGUAUGCAUGUGCAUGGGUGUGUGCAUAUCCGUGUGCAUGCGUUUCUGUGUGUGUGUGUGUGUGAUUAGCCCUUGUUACAGGUCUGCUGAGGGAGGUAGUAAUGAGAGACUAGAGUGUGGUCAAUGUGCACUUCUGUCAACAAGACCAUGCUGGCCUACAUGUGUCAGAGGUCAGGGGCUGUGUUAAAAAAGAGUGUUGUGGCUGAGUGGUGUGACUGAGAUAGAGAUGGACCCAGCUGUCUGAACCCAGGGUAACAUGCUGCUCCUUAUGAUGGGCUGUGGAGAGAGGCAGAGGUGAUUACUGCAACCUAUCUAUACAGAACAUACAGCCAGGCAUACAGCUGGUUGGUUGAAAUUACAUCAUGUUAUCUGCUUGAAAUGACGUCAUGUUAUCUGGUUGAAAUGACAUUGUGUUAUCUGGAUGGAAUGAAGUCAGGUUAUCUGGAUGGAAUGAAGUCAGGUUAUCUGGAUGGAAUGACAUUGUGUUAUCUGGAUGGAAUGAAGUCAUGUUAUCUGGUUGGAAUGAAGUCAGGUUAUCUGGAUGGAAUGACAUUGUGUUAUCUGGAUGGAAUGAAGUCAUGUUAUCUGGUUGGAAUGAAGUCAGGUUAUCUGGAUGGAAUGACAUUGUGUUAUCUGGAUGGAAUGAAGUCAUGUUAUCUGGUUGGAAUGAAGUCAGGUUAUCUGGAUGGAAUGAAGUCAGG